rnacentral:rRNA from 1 species
UACGGAGGAUCCGAGCGUUAUCCGGAUUUAUUGGGUUUAAAGGGAGCGUAGAUGGAUGUUUAAGUCAGUUGUGAAAGUUUGCGGCUCAACCGUAAAAUUGCAGUUGAUACUGGAUGUCUUGAGUGCAGUUGAGGCAGGCGGAAUUCGUGGUGUAGCGGUGAAAUGCUUAGAUAUCACGAAGAACUCCGAUUGCGAAGGCAGCCUGCUAAGCUGCAACUGACAUUGAGGCUCGAAAGUGUGGGUAUCAAACAGGAUUAGAAACCUAGUCCGGCUGACUGACU